rnacentral:rRNA from 1 species
AGCGAACGCUGGCGGCAAGCCUAACACAUGCAAGUCGAACGAACCCUUCGGGGUUAGUGGCGGACGGGUGAGUAACACGUGGGAACGUGCCUUUAGGUUCGGAAUAACUCAGGGAAACUUGUGCUAAUACCGAAUGUGCCCUUCGGGGGAAAGAUUUAUCGCCUUUAGAGCGGCCCGCGUCUGAUUAGCUAGUUGGUGAGGUAAAGGCUCACCAAGGCUACGAUCAGUAGCUGGUCUGAGAGGAUGACCAGCCACAUUGGGACUGAGACACGGCCCAAACUCCUACGGGAGGCAGCAGUGGGGAAGCUUGCGCAAUGGGCGAAAGCCUGACGCAGCCAUGCCGCGUGGAUGAUGAAGGUCUUAGGAUUGUAAAAUCCUUUCACCGGUGAAGAUAAUGACUGUAGCCGGAGAAGAAGCCCCGGCUAACUUCGUGCCAGCCGCCGCCGUAAUAC